GAUGAACGCUGGCUGCGUGCUUAACACAUGCAAGUCGAGGGGAAAUGACUGGAAAACUUGGGUGCCCGGGCCUCAUGAAACUAGAUGGUGAGUAACGGCUGACCGGUGAGUCACUGAUGGGUGACCUGCCCAACAAACUGGGAUCACAUCCGUCAACGUAUGCUCUGCCCGGAUCCCACCACUAUACACGAGUCCACCGUUCAAGGAAGGGUUCUGCUCUCACUCUUGGAUGGACCUGCGGUGCGCCCACUAGUGGGACAAGUAACGGCUUACCAAGGCAAUGAUGCCCCCACAAGUUGACAGACUGAUCGGCCACAUUGGGACUGAAAGACGGCCCAAACUCCUACGGGAGGUGGGAGAAAGGAAUCUUCCACCAUGGACCCAGGUCUAAUAGAGCCCCGUCGCUUGAGUGAAGAAUGGUUUCGGCUCUAAAAUCUCUGAUGUGUCCGACAAAACAUGUACGUAGUAACUGGCGUUUAUUUGACUGCAAUUACUUAGAAAGUCACGGCUAACUACGUGCGGCCAGCCGCGGAUAUACUUAGGUGGCAAGCAUUGUACGGAUUGAUUGAGCCUUGAUGGAGUGUGGGCGGGUCCAUCAGUCGCAUUGGAAAGCCUUCUGCUCAACUUGAGAAUUGCAUCAGAAACUGUUGAACUUCAGUGCACAAGAAGAUACUGAAAUUUCAUGUAUAGCUCUGAAAUGCAUAGAUGUAUGGAAGAACACCACUGACGAUGGCGGUCCUCUGUGCUGGUACUGAACCUGAUUAUCUACCCCAUGGGUCCCAAGCAGAAUUACAUACCCGGUAUGUCCCUGGUCGAAAUCCACAACGGAUAGGAUAAUUCUCGAUACCCGCCUACUUUUACCUAGAAUCCGGGUUCCAUUAUUUGCUCCCUUUAGGAGGGUUAACUACCCU
rnacentral:rRNA from 1 species